GAUGAACGCUGGCGGCGUGCCUAAUACAUGCAAGUCGAGCGAACGGACGAGAAGCUUGCUUCUCUGAUGUUAGCGGCGGACGGGUGAGUAACACGUGGAUAACCUACCUAUAAGACUGGGAUAACUUCGGGAAACCGUAGCUAAUACCGGAUAAUAUUUUGAACCGCAUGGUUCAACAGUGAAAGACGGUCUUGCUGUCACUUAUAGAUGGAUCCGCGCUGCAUUAGCUAGUUGGUAAGGUAACGGCUUACCAAGGCAACGAUGCAUAGCCGACCUGAGAGGGUGAUCGGCCACACUGGAACUGAGACACGGUCCCGACUCCUACGGGAGGGAGCAGUAGGGAAUCUUCCGCAAUGGGCGAAAGCCUGACGGAGCAACGCCGCGUGAGUGAUGAAGGUCUUCGGAUCGGAAAACUCUGUUAUUAGGGAAGAACAUAUGUGUAAGUAACUGUGCACAUCGUGACGGUACCUAAUCAGAAAGCCACGGCUAACUACGUG
rnacentral:rRNA from 1 species